rnacentral:rRNA from 1 species
GUGUGAGUGAUGAAGGUCUUCGGAUCGUAAAGCUCUGUCAGUUGGGAAUAAAUCAUCAAGCAUCAGAUCCUUGGUGUUGAAUGUACCAACAGAGGAAGCAACGGCUAACUCCGUGCCAGCAGCCGCGGUAAUACGGGGGUUGCAAGCGUUGUUCGAAAUUACUGGGCGUAAAGCGCGCGUAGGCGGUUUGGUAAGUCCUGUGUGAAAGCCUUCGGCUUAACCGGAGAAAGUCACAGGAUACUGCUAAGCUAGAGUAUGAGAGGGGAGAGCGGAAUUCCGAGUGUAGUGGUGAAAUACGU